GGCCAAUGGCGCCCUCUAAUACAUGCAAGUCGAGCGGACAGAUGGGAGCUUGCUCCCUGAUGUUAGCGGCGGACGGGUGAGUAACACGUGGGUAACCUGCCUGUAAGACUGGGAUAACUCCGGGAAACCGGGGCUAAUACCGGAUGGUUGUUUGAACCGCAUGGUUCAAACAUAAAAGGUGGCUUCGGCUACCACUUACAGAUGGACCCGCGGCGCAUUAGCUAGUUGGUGAGGUAAUGGCUCACCAAGGCAACGAUGCGUAGCCGACCUGAGAGGGUGAUCGGCCACACUGGGACUGAGACACGGCCCAGACUCCUACGGGAGGCAGCAGUAGGGAAUCUUCCGCAAUGGACGAAAGUCUGACGGAGCAACGCCGCGUGAGUGAUGAAGGUUUUCGGAUCGUAAAGCUCUGUUGUUAGGGAAGAACAAGUACCGUUCGAAUAGGGCGGUACCUUGACGGUACCUAACCAGAAAGCCACGGCUAACUACGUGCCAGCAGCGGGCGGUAAUUUAUUACUUAUUAUCCGCCCGGCUGCUGGGCUCGAUGCAUCAUGUGGUGAUUAAAGAACAAUCAUAUUAGAGCUGCAAUGAAAAUACGCUUCAGUCGAGUAAUUUCACCCCCCCGCCGGCUGCCGUAAGAGUUUGCCUAUGUCUCAGGACGAACGCGGGCGGCGUGCCUUAUACAUGCAAGUCGAGCGGACAGAUGGGAGCUUGCUCCUUGAUGUUAGCGGCGGAGGGGUGAGUAACACGUGGGUAACCCGCCUGUAAGACUGGGAUAACUCCGGGAAACCGGGGCUAAUACCGGAUGGUUGUUUGAACCGCAUGGUUCAAACAUAAAAGGUGGCUUCGGCUACCACUUACAGAUGGACCCGCGGCGCCUUAGCUAGUUGGUGAGGUAAUGGCUCACCAAGGCAACGAUGCGUAGCCGACCUGAGAGGGUGAUCGGCCACACUGGGACUGAGACACGGCCCAGACUCCUACGGGAGGCAGCAGUAGGGAAUCUUCCGCAAUGGACGAAAGUCUGACGGAGCAACGCCGCGUGAGUGAUGAAGGUUUUCGGAUCGUAAAGCUCUGUUGUUAGGGAAGAACAAGUACCGUUCGAAUAGGGCGGUACCUGACGUACCAACCAGAAGUAAAACUC
rnacentral:rRNA from 2 species